UACGUAGGGGGCAAGCGUUGUCCGGAUUUAUUGGGCGUAAAGCGCGUGUAGGCGGCCACGCAGGUCCGCUGUGAAAACUCGAGGCUCAACCUCGAGCUGUCGGUGGAAACCGCGUGGCUAGAGUCCGGAAGAGGGGACUGGAAUUCCCGGUGUAGCGGUGGAAUGCGCAGAUAUCGGGAGGAACACCAGAGGCGAAGGCAGCGUCCUGGGAAGCAUCUGACGCUCAGGUGCGAAAGCUAGGGGAGCGAACGGG
rnacentral:rRNA from 1 species